UACGGUAGGGGGCGAGCGUUGUCCGGAAUCAUUGGGCGUAAAGCGCGUGUAGGCGGCUCGGUAAGUCUGCUGUGAAAGCCCAGGGCUCAACCCUGGAAUGCCGGUGGAAACUGUCGAGCUUGAGUCCGGAAGAGGCGAAGUGGAAUUCCGUGGUGUAGCGGUGAAAUGCGCAGAUAUCAGGAGGAACACCAAGUGGCGAAGGCAGCUCCGCUGGGACGGUAGCUGACGCUGAGACGCGAAAGCGUGGGGAGCAAACAGG
rnacentral:rRNA from 1 species